CAAGAUCGCUUUACGGUCGCGGGGCGCGAAAGCGCCGUGAGGAAAGUCCGGGCAGCACAGGACAGGGCGCCUGAUAACGUCAGGUGAAGGCGACUUCAAGGAAAGUGCAACAGAAAUAUACCGCGGAAGCGAUUCUCGUUUCCGUAAGGGUGGAAAGGCGAGGUAAGAGCUCACCGGCGCUGCGGUAACGCGGCGCGCCAUGUAAACCCCGCCCGCUGCAAGAUUGGGCGUUCGUCGCACAGGGUUGUCCGCCCGACGAUCGCCGUGAAUAUCGCUGGAGCUUGCCGGCGACGGCAAGCGUAGAUAAAUGACCGUACACGACAGAACCCGGCUUACAGACGGUCUUGUUUU
rnacentral:RNase_P_RNA from 1 species